rnacentral:rRNA from 1 species
CCUACGGGAGGCAGCAGUGAGGAAUAUUGGUCAAUGGACGAGAGUCUGAACCAGCCAAGUAGCGUGAAGGAUGACUGCCCUAUGGGUUGUAAACUUCUUUUAUAUGGGAAUAAAAUGUUCCACGUGUGGGAUUUUGUAUGUACCAUAUGAAUAAGGCUCGGCUAACUCCGUGCCAGCAGCCGCGGUAAUACGGAGGAUCCGAGCGUUAUCCGGAUUUAUUGGGGUUAAAGGGAGCGUAGGUGGAUUGUUAAGUCAGUUGUGAAAGUUUGCGGCUCAACCGUAAAAUUGCAGUUGAAACUGGCAGUCGUGAGUACAGUAGAGGUGGGCGGAAUGCGUGGUGUAGCGGUGAAAUGCUUAGAUAUCACGAAGAACUCCGAUUGCGAAGGCAGCUCACUGGACUGCAACUGACACUGAGGCUCGAAAGUGUGGGUAUCAAACAGGAUUAUAUACCCUGGUAGUC